UACGUAGGGGGCAAGCGUUGUCCGGAUUUAUUGGGCGUAAAGAGCGUGUAGGCGGCCAGACAGGUCCGUUGUGAAAACUGGAGGCUCAACCUCCAGACGUCGAUGGAAACCGUCUGGCUAGAGUCCGGAAGAGGAGAGUGGAAUUCCUGGAUGUAGCGGUGAAAUGACGCAGAUAUCAGGAAGAACACCCGUGGCGAAAGCGGCUCUCUGGGACGGUAUGCUGAGACGCGAAAGCGUGGGGAGCGAACAGG
rnacentral:rRNA from 1 species